rnacentral:sRNA from 1 species
UCCGUAGGUGAACCUGCGGAAGGAUCAUUAUCAAACAGCGGCCUUCGGGCCUUGCUGCACCCUUGUCUUUUUGCGUACCGUAUGUUUCCUCGGCGGGCUUGCCUGCCGGUUGGACAUUAUCAAGCCUUUUUGUAGUUGCAAUCAGCGUCAGAAAACAAAUAAUUAUUACAACUUUCAACAACGGAUCUCUUGGUUCUGGCAUCGAUGAAGAACGCAGCGAAAUGCGAAAAGUAGUGUGAAUUGCAGAAUUCAGUGAAUCAUCGAAUCUUUGAACGCACAUUGCGCCCCUUGGUAUUCCAUGGGGCAUGCCUGUUCGAGCGUCAUUUUGUACCCUCAAGCACUGCUUGGUGUUGGGCGUUUGUCCUGCAGAGGACUCGCCUGAAAGCGAUUGGCGGCCAACGUAUCGGUGGCAGAGCGCAGCACAAUCUCGCGUCUCUCCCCUCUACGUCGGCGUCCAUAAGCCUACAAUUCUACGUUUGACCUCGGAUCAGGUAGGGAUACCCGCUGAACUUAAGCAUAUCAAUAAGCGGAGGAAAGGAAACCAACAGGGAUUGCCCUAGUAACGGCGAGUGAAGCGGCAUCAGCUCAAAUUUGAAAUCUGGCUCUUUCAGAGUCCGAGUUGUAAUUUGCAGAGGGCGCUUUGGUGUCGGCAGCGGUCCAAGUUCCUUGGAACAGGACGUCACAGAGGGUGAGAAUCCCGUACGUGGUCGCUGACCUACACCGUGUAAAGCCCCUUCGACGAGUCGAGUUGUUUGGGAAUGCAGCUCUAAAUGGGAGGUAAAUUUCUUCUAAAGCUAAAUACUGGCCAGAGACCGAUAGCGCACAAGUAGAGUGAUCGAAAGAUGAAAAGCACUUUGGAAAGAGAGUCAAACAGCACGUGAAAUUGUUGAAAGGGAAACGCUUGAAGU